rnacentral:rRNA from 1 species
AGAGAGAGACAUGCGCGCAUAUCAAUAAGCGGAGGAAAAGAAACUAACAAGGAUUCCCUUAGUAACGGCGAGUGAAGCGGGAAGAGCUCAAAUUUGAAAUCUUCAAGGUUUUACCUUGACGAAUUGUAGUUUAAAGAAGUGUUUUCUGCUGAAGUUUUGGUAAAAGUUCUUUGGAAUAGGACAUCAUAGAGGGUGAGAAUCCCGUAUUUGACCAUUAUUUUCAGCUUUGUGAUACACUUUCAAAGAGUCGGAUUGUUUGGGAAUGCAGUCCAAAAUGGGUGGUAAAUUUCAUCUAAAGCUAAAUAUUGGCGGAGAGACCGAUAGCGAACAAGUACCGUGAGGGAAAGAUGAAAAGAACUUUGAAAAGAGAGUUAAACAGUACGUGAAAUUGUCAAAAGGGAAGCGUUUGACACCAGUGUUGUUUUCUCGAAAAUCAAUUAAAAAUGGCUCGAUUUUGUAUUGCUGAGACCUUAAAAGCUCACUGUACAUUUUUCGUGUCUUUUUUAAUGCACUUUUCGUUUAACAAGUCAACAUCAGUUUCUUUUGUUGUAAAAGGGUCAUUGGAAGGUGGCUUUCUUUUCGGAGAAAGUGUUUAUAGCCUUUGGCCUCUGCAAUCGGAAGAGACUGAGGUCUGCAGCGUAGACUCUUCGGGGUUAGAUACAUUUGUGCUAAGUUAUAGCUUUUUAUAGACAACUUAGUUGACUAUAAUUAGUCUUGUAGCUUACUCGCUUAUGCUAUUUUACCUACGCUUAGGAUGUUGAAGAUGUAGCACAUCA